rnacentral:misc_RNA from 1 species
AAGUCGUAACAAGGUUUCCGUAGGUGAACCUGCGGAAGGAUCAUUAACACGUAUCCAAACGUUAAACCCCCCUGUGAACCUUCACCUGUACUCGUACGUCCGUUAGAAAAAGCAGCAAUCCCUGGUAAAUCAUCGCCGAACAGUUUUCGAUUCAGGGACGUCUGCAAGGAGCGUGCAUGUUGUGCGAAGCAAGUGGCCUGGCAUCCCCAAGCAGUUAGUGUCUGAAAGUGUCAUUACCUGUCCGGGUCGCUGGGCGCAAGCCCCCCUAUAACAAACCCCCUGCCAAUCGCGGCCGCGAUAAUACGCAGUCGACCAAAAACCGAACAACUGUUAACAAUGGAUAUCUUGGUUCUC